UUGACCUCGGAUCAAGUAAGGAUACCCGCUGAACUUAA
rnacentral:rRNA from 2 species